UACAGAGGUCCCAAGCGUUGUUUGGAUUCACUGGGCGUAAAGGGUGCGUAGGUGGUGAGGUAAGUUUGAUGUGAAAUCUCCGGGCUCAACCCGGAAAUGGCAUUGAAUACUAUCUUGCUAGAGGAGUGGAGGGGGGACUGGAAUACUUGGUGUAGCAGUGAAAUGCGUAGAUAUCAAGUGGAACACCAGUGGCGAAGGCGAGUCCCUGGACACUUCCUGACACUGAGGCACGAAAGCUAGGGGAGCAAACAGG
rnacentral:rRNA from 1 species